AGCUUUGCGCAGUGGCGAUAUCGUAACCAAUGAGGUACAACCGAGGUGCGAUUAUUGCUAGUUGAAAACUUAUGUAACCAAAAGAUGCGCUAUCCAAAGACCGUGAAACGAAGCUAAGAAAGUUUUUGAAAUUAUUUUGAAUUG